rnacentral:rRNA from 1 species
GACGAACCGUGCGAACGUUGUUCGGAUUCACUGGGCUUAAAGGGCGCGUAGGCGGGUGGCCAAGUCGGGGGUGAAAUCCUUCAGCUUAACUGAAGAAUUGCCUUCGAUACUGGUCGUCUGGAGGGGGGUAGGGGCGGACGGAACUUCCGGUGGAGCGGUGAAAUGCGUAGAUAUCGGAAGGAACGCCGGCGGCGAAAGCGGUCCGCUGGACCCCCACUGACGCUGAGGCGCGAAAGCCAGGGGAGCAAACGG